rnacentral:misc_RNA from 1 species
GAUGAAGAACGUAGCGAAAUGCGAUAAGUAAUGUGAAUUGCAGAUUUCAGUGAAUCAUCGAAUCUUUGAACGCACCUUGCGCCUUGUGGUAUUCCACAAGGCAUGCCCGUUUGAGUAUCAUUAAAUCAUCAACUCUCACGGCUUGUCCGUGAUGAGCUUGGACUUUGGGGGUCUUGCCGGCCUGUGGUCGGCUCCUCUCAAAUGGAUCAGCUUGCCAGUGGUUGGUGGCAUCACAGGUGUGAUAACUAUCUGCGCUUGUGGUUUUCCAUCAGAUAACCUUCAGUGAUAUGGAGGUUCGCUGGAGCUCACAAAUGUCUCUCCUUAGUGAGGACAGCUCUUUGAACGUUUGAUCUCAAAUCAGGUAGGACUACCCGCUGAACUUAAGCAUAUCAAUAAGCGGAGGA